UACGUAGGGUGCGAGCGUUAAUCGGAAUUACUGGGCGUAAAGCGUGCGCAGGCGGUUCGUCGUGUCCGAUGUGAAAGCCCCGGGCUCAACCUGGGAAUGGCAUUGGAAACUGGCGGACUCGAGUGUGGCAGAGGGGGGUGGAAUUCCGCGUGUAGCAGUGAAAUGCGUAGAGAUGCGGAGGAACACCGAUGGCGAAGGCGGCUCACUGGUCCAUUACUGACGCUGAGGUGCGAAAGCGUGGGGAGCAAACAGG
rnacentral:rRNA from 1 species